rnacentral:rRNA from 1 species
AUACGAAAGGUGCAAGCGUUGUUCGGAUUUACUGGGCGUAAAGAGAGUGUAGGUUGUUUAUUAAGUCGGAUGUGAAAUCCCGGGGCUCAACCUCGGAACUGCAUUCGAUACUGAUAGGCUAGAGUUUGGGAGGGGUAAGCGGAAUUCCGUGUGUAGCAGUGAAAUGCGUAGACAUACGGAGGAACACCUGAGGCGAAGGCGGCUUACUGGACCAAUACUGACACUGAGACUCGAAAGCGUGGGUAGCAAACAGGAUUAGAUACCCCAGUAGUCC